UACGAAGGGGGCUAGCGUUGCUCGGAAUCACUGGGCGUAAAGCGCACGUAGGCGGAUCCUUAAGUCGGGGGUGAAAUCCUGGAGCUCAACUCCAGAACUGCCUUCGAUACUGAGGAUCUCGAGUCCGGGAGAGGUGAGUGGAACUGCGAGUGUAGAGGUGAAAUUCGUAGAUAUUCGCAAGAACACCAGUGGCGAAGGCGGCUCACUGGCCCGGUACUGACGCUGAGGUGCGAAAGCGUGGGGAGCGAUCCGG
rnacentral:rRNA from 1 species